rnacentral:misc_RNA from 1 species
GUGAAUCAUCGAAUCUUUGAACGCACAUUGCACUUCCUGGCUUGCUAGGAAGUAUGUCUGUUUGAGUAUCAUUUUAACCUCAACACUAAUGGUUUGUGUGAAUCAGUUUGAUAAGCAUAAAUUGUUGGUAUUGGAUUUGAAUCGUCAUGCUAGUCACGCGAUUUUAAAAGCAAAGUGUCAUCCACAUCUACGGUGAUAAUGACAUGUCUCUUUUCUAAGAACAGUCGUUCUCGAGAGGAAGCAUUCAUGACUGCUGUAGAUUGGAAUUAAUGACAUUCUUAACUCGAGAGUAAAGUAGAU